rnacentral:rRNA from 1 species
UACAGAGGUCUCAAGCGUUGUUCGGAUUCAUUGGGCGUAAAGGGUGCGUAGGUGGCGGGGUAAGUCAGGUGUGAAAUUUCGGAGCUUAACUCCGAAACUGCAUUUGAUACUGCCUUGCUUGAGGACUGGAGAGGAGACUGGAAUUCACGGUGUAGCAGUGAAAUGCGUAGAGAUCGUGAGGAAGACCAGUGGCGAAGGCGGGUCUCUGGACAGUUCCUGACACUGAGGCACGAAGGCCAGGGGAGCAAACGGGG